ACCUUUGCAAUGUGCGAAAGCACGACAAGGUUAAUCCGAGUGUCUCCUGCUAAAGGAGUCUUUUGUCAGUUGUAGAAUCACUGGUGAAUAAGGGGUGGGCAAGUUCUGGUGUCAGCCGCCGCGGUAAAACCAGCACCUCGAGUGGUCAGGAGGUUUAUUGGGCCUAAAGCAUCCGUAGCCGGUUGCAUAAGCUUUCGGUUAAAUCUAUGCGCUUAACGUAUAGGCCGCCGAAAAUACUGUGCAGCUAGGGAGUGGGAGAGGUACACGGUACUCGAUAGGAAGGGGUAAAAUCCUUUGAUCUAUUGAAGACCACCUGUGGCGAAGGCGGUGUACCAGAACACGUUCGACGGUGAGGGAUGAAAGCUGGGGGAGCAAACCGGAUUAGAUACCCGGGUAGUCCCAGCCGUAAACGAUGCAGACUCGGUGAUGCAUUGGCUUGUGGCCAAUGCAGUGCCGCAGGGAAGCCGUUAAGUCUGCCGCCUGGGAAGUACGUACGCAAGUAUGAAACUUAAAGGAAUUGGCGGGGGAGCACCACAAGGGGUGAAGCCUGCGGUUCAAUUGAUCAC
rnacentral:rRNA from 1 species